rnacentral:rRNA from 1 species
UUCUGGUUGAUCCUGCCGGACCUGACUGCUAUCGGAUUGAUACUAAGCCAUGCGAGUCAUUGUAGUAAUACAAGGCAUACGGCUCAGUAACGCGUAGUCAACCUAACCUAUGGACGGGAAUAACCUCGGGAAACUGAGUAUAAUUCCCGAUAGAACAUUAUGCCUGGAAUGGUUUAUGUUCCAAAUGAUUUAUCGCCGUAGGAUGGGACUGCGGCCUAUCAGUUUGUUGGUGAGGUAAUGGCCCACCAAGACUAUUACAGGUACGGGCUCUGAGAGGAGUAGCCCGGAGAUGGGUACUGAGACACGGACCCAGGCCCUAUGGGGCGCAGCAGGCGAGAAAACUUUGCAAUGUGCGAAAGCACGACAAGGUUAAUCCGAGUGGUUUCUGCUAAAGGAACCUUUUGUUAGUCCUAGAAACACUAACGAAUAAGGGGUGGGCAAGUUCUGGUGUCAGCCGCCGCGGUAAAACCAGCACCUCAAGUGGUCAGGAUGAUUAUUGGGCCUAAAGCAUCCGUAGCCGGCUCUGUAAGUUUUCGGUUAAGUCUGUACGCUCAACGUACAGGCUGCCGGGAAUACUGCAGAGCUAGGGAGUGGGAGAGGUAGACGGUACUCGGGAGGAAGGGGUAAAAUCCUUUGAUCUCUCGAUGACCACCUGUGGCGAAGGCGGUCUACCAGAACACGUCCGACGGUGAGGGAUGAAAGCUGGGGGAGCAAACCGGAUUAGAUACCCGGGUAGUCCCAGCUGUAAACUAUGCAAACUCAGUGAUGCAUUGACUUGUGGUCAAUGCAGUGCUGCAGGGAAGCCGUUAAGUUUGCCGCCUGGGAAGUACGUACGCAAGUAUGAAACUUAAAGGAAUUGGCGGGGGAGCACCACAAGGGGUGAAGCCUGCGGUUCAAUUGG